CACCAUGUUGGCCAGGCUGGCCUCCAACUCCUGACCUCAGGUUAUUCACCCACCUCAGCCUCCCAAAGUGCUGGGAUUACAGGCAUGAACCGCUGAGUCCAGCCUAGAAAGGAAAAUUUAAGACAUCAGCUUCAAAUUAAGAGCUAUGGAUCUAGAGAAACUGAGCAUAUUAUAACUGGUUGACAGCCAUGACCAAGGAAAACCACAGUACAGUACCUUCUUAAACUUUCUAGAAACUUAAUUUGCUUCCCUUCUUUUAAUGAGAUUUUAAUAUUUAAGGAUGUUUUCUAAACCUCUGAUUCUCAAAAAUUGGAAGUAAACGGAUUUUCAUUCAAUGAAGAGAACUGCCAUUUAGAAGUGAUGGGUUUUCAGCCGGGCGCGGUGGCUCACGCCUGUAAUCCCAG